GCCGCCUUAGCUCAGUCGGUCAGAGCGACGCACUCGUAAUGCGUAGGUCCGGGGUUCGAUUCCCCGAGGCGGCU
rnacentral:tRNA from 2 species